AUAAUGAUACUCCUGCCGAGUCCCAGACAUCGCAAGGACGGCAGCCCGCGUGAAGGGGGAGGUGAAAUUCCUGUGA
ncrna:unclassified sequences pemK RNA